UAAACUUUGAUCCGAAGAUUUCCGAAUGAGGAAACUCACUUAGAGUAAUGUCUAAGUAUCAUUAAGUGAAUACAUAGCUUAAUGAGGGGAACUCAGGGAACUGAAACAUCUAAGUACCUGAAGGAAGCGAAAGAAAUUCGAUUCCGUAAGUAGCGGCGAGCGAACGCGGAUUAGCCCAAACCAAUAAAGUUUUCUUUAUUGGGGUUG
rnacentral:rRNA from 1 species